AUUGAACGCUGGCGGCAUGCCUUACACAUACAAGUCGAACGGCGAGCACGGGAGGCAAUCCUGGUGGCGAGUGGCGAACGGGUGAGUAAUAUAUCGGAACGUGCCCAGUCGUGGGGGAUAACGUAGCGAAAGCUACGCUAAUACCGCAUACGAUCUAUGGAUGAAAGCGGGGGAGUCGCAAGACCUCGCGCGAUUGGAGCGGCCGAUAUCAGAUUAGCUAGUUGGUGGGGUAAAAGACUCACCAAGGCGACGAUCUGUAGCUGGUCUGAGAGGACGACCAGCCACACUGGAACUGAGACACGGUCCAGACUCCUACGGGAGGCAGCAGUGGGGAAUAUUGGACAAUGGGCGCAAGCCUGAUCCAGCCAUACCGCGUGGGUGAAGAAGGCCUUCGGGUUGUAAAGCCCUUUUGUUGGGAAAGAAAUCCUAUCGGUUAAUAACCGGUGGGGAUGACGGUACCCAAAGAAUAAGCACCGGCUAACUUCGUG
rnacentral:rRNA from 1 species